rnacentral:rRNA from 1 species
CAGCCGCCACGGGAAUACGGAGGGUGCAAGCGUUACUCGGAAUCACUGGGCGUAAAGGACGCGUAGGCGGAUUAUCAAGUCUCUUGUAAAAUCUAACGGCUUAACCGUUAAACUGCUUGGGAAACUGAUAAUCUAGAGUAAGGGAGAGGCAGAUGGAAUUCUUGGUGUAGGGGCAAAAUCCGUAGAUAUCAAGAAGAAUACCUAUUGCGAAGGCGAUCUGCUGGAACUUAACUGACGCUAAUGCGUGAAAGCGUGGGGAGCAAACAGGAUUAGAUACCCCGGUAGUCCCUGUCUCUUAUAC